UACGAAGGGGGCUAGCGUUGUUCGGAAUUACUGGGCGUAAAGCGUGCGCAGGCGGUUUUGUAAGUCUGUCGUGAAAUCCCCGGGCUCAACCUGGGAAUGGCGAUGGAGACUGCAAGGCUAGAGUUUGGCAGAGGGGGGUAGAAUUCCACGUGUAGCAGUGAAAUGCGUAGAUAUGUGGAGGAACACCGAUGGCGAAGGCAGCCCCCUGGGUCAAAACUGACGCUCAUGCACGAAAGCGUGGGGAGCAAACAGG
rnacentral:rRNA from 1 species